rnacentral:lncRNA from 1 species
CACAUAUGAGCCUAGUUAUACAUAUAAAAGGAUCACACUAUGAUUACACAUAUGAGCCUAAUACACAUGAAAGUGUCAUGCAGAUAUGAAAUCUUUAAAGAUCUAAGAUGUUUCGACAAUAUAUAUGUUGAAUUAUAUACUUAAUUAGACCAAAAAUUCAUGACGAUACUAAUAUUGUGGUCUAGGAGGGCGUGGCCCAAGAGGUCCUGAAAACCAAGUAGCCCCGGGAGGUGGAGGUGGUGGGUCAGGUCCCGGAGGAGGUGGAGGAGGUGGCUGAGGUCCUGGAGGAGGUGGAGGAGGGCGAGGCUCUGGAGGCCGUGCUCUUGGUGGCGGUGAAUGGUGGAAAGGAGGAGAAGGAGGACGAUGAGGAGGAGGAUGAGGCAUUUUGUGCUUUGUUAUUGCAAUAUC